rnacentral:rRNA from 1 species
UACAGAGGUCUCAAGCGUUGUUCGGAUUCAUUGGGCGUAAAGAGCUCGUAGGCGGCUUGUCGCGUCGUCCGUGAAAACUUGGGGCUCAACCCCAAGCUUGCGGUCGAUACGGGCAGGCUAGAGUUCGGUAGGGGGGACUGGAAUUCCUGGUGUAGCGGUGAAAUGCGCAGAUAUCAGGAGGAACACCGGUGGCGAAGGCGGGUCUCUGGGCCGAUACUGACGCUGAGGAGCGAAAGCGUGGGGAGCGAACAGG